rnacentral:rRNA from 1 species
UACGUAGGGUGCAAGCGUUGCCCCGGAUUUAUUGGGCGUAAAGGGCGCGUAGGCGGCUCUGCACGUUCGUUGUGAAAUCGCCCGGCUCAACUGGGGCGGGGUCAGCGGAUACGGCAGAGCUUGAGCAAGCUAGGGGGGCAAUGAAUUCCCGGUGUAGUGGUGGAAUGCGUAGAUAUCGGGGAGGGAAACACCAGUGGCGAAGGCGGUUGCCUGGGGCUUUUGGCUUGACGCUGAUUGCGCGAAAACGUGGGGGGAAGC